ACUACGUUGAUUAAAAAGUAUCUAUUAAAUUAACGUAAACUUUAAUUUAUUAACAGAAUAUACAUAAUGAUAAAUUAGAAAAAUUAUUAUAUAUUUGAGUGAUUUUUAUCCUUUUAUUAAGAAAAAUAUAUUUGUUAUAUUUCUAUUAUAUAUUCCAUGUCUCUAAAAAUAAGAAUAAGCGAAUUAUACGAGAUUUCAAUUAUCCAAAUUUCAAACAUUUGAAUCUCAUUGGUGGAACGAAAUUAACCAAUCAAAACGAGACUAAGAAAAAAGGUUCGGUCAAGCUUGAUUUGACGUCCAUAGUUAUUAUAAUUUUUAAAAUAAAGUAGAAGUGAUUGUAAAAGUGAUUCUAUAAUUUCUUUUCUAAAGUUAGUGAUUCUGAUUUUGAUCAAAAUUAACGAUAGUGUGAAUACAAAGUUGUCGUUCGUGAUAAAAUUUAUUUACGGAUAAUACGUCGUUCAAUUUAUGUGAAGUUAAUUGAAAUUUACUUCAUUAUUGUUGUAAUGUACAAUAAAAUUUUAUUGAAGUCUUUAAUAAUUCCAACUCAAUCAACGAUAAUUGCUCAUAUCAAGAACUCUACACUUCAACAUUACAAAAAAUAAAUCUUCGAAUUUCAUUGCAAUUGGCGCGUCGUUAACCUAACUUAACACAAUCGUAUCCGGAGAAAUCAUGUCCGAAAGUUUUCCAAAAGUUUUCCACCGUCACCGUGGAACGACGAAACUUACCUGAACACUUCGAAGAGAGAGGAGGAGCGCGACGGCUCGGUUAACAGGUGAGAAUCGAAUCGGAUUGCGGGAGCGCGGGAAAGCGGUCCCUCGUUGAUCAGCCGGUAACUCGCGAACUCGAAAAGUGGUUCGACUCGGCCGGGUCGCUCGCAACAGACUGUUGUUGCGUUUGCCGAGGAUUGCGCGUUAGAUUUGAUUUGGUUUUGGGGGGGCAAAGCAGGUGAACGUGGCUCGUGCGCCCUGGAUAAAGACCGACCCGUUGCCAAGACGAACACACCGUUACGGACGAGCUAGCUCUGUCCGGUACUCCGCUACGGUGCCGGGUACUAUCCUCGAUGCUUUUAGUCGGCGUCUGCGCUCUCGUAACCUUCCGACCUUCUCUUCCACCUGCACACCCCCACCUAAUGGCCCAGCGUAUUUUAGACUGCAGCCGCGCUAGCUCCUCUCUCUUUCUCUCUCUCCUUCCGCCCUCCGCUCUCCUCCCCCUCUUCCCUGUGCGCGCACCUGACUACCCCUACCACAACAGCACCUGAUGCUGCACCUGAGCUAGUAGUAGGGGUCAACGCUUCUGCUCCCAUCUUCUGCGAGGAUACAAUCAGCCCGAAUAUAACCUGUGGACCAUCGACUGAGGCGCUUUAUGUAUCGCGUGUGAAAGGUGGUUGCUUUGACGAGCGUGACUUCGACGCAGAGGCGAUAAAUUGGAAAUGUGAUCGAUUGUCGAGUCGUUGGGUAAUUAGAUUCGUUGCGCGAUUUUCCUCGUGGAAAUCGGGAAUCAAAAUCAUCGCAGACGCGGGAAAUCUGUCCUUUCGAUGGUGCUGCUGUGGGAAGAAGAAAUAUCUGAUUAUCGUGAAAAAAUAAAAUAUUAUCGGUAUCGAAACUUGCGUUUGAUGGAGAAAAUGAAUAUAUUGGAAGGAGAUUGGAGGGGGAAAUGUGAUUGCGAAAUCUUUUGUUUUUUUUGAGAGGGGAGGGGGGAAAGAGAAGGAAGAGAGGGAGGAUAAUUAAAUUUUAUUUUGACUUUGCUCGUGGAGAAUUUCUGUUAUACGUUUAAUGAACUAUGUUUAUGGACUUCUUGGUUAUUUCAUUAACGUUUAUUUAAGAUCCAUUAUGUGAAUUAUUAUUAUUGGAGUUUUUAAUCCCCCUCCACUCACGCAGCUGCUUUAACUAGAGAUUGUAUAAUGUCGUGUUGGCAUUAAUAUCGUGAAAAGAUAAAGGUGUCUCGCUUUUUUCCAUUUCACCCUUUUACUCGUUUUGGUAAUAUACCUUACAACAUCACCCGCUUCUUUUUAUUUUUUUUCAACCAAAUCUCUUUUACAAAAUUUUACCGCCGGAACAGAUUUCCUCUAUAAAAAAUA